AGAGUUUGAUCCUGGCUCAGGAUGAACGCUGGCGGCGUGCUUAAUACAUGCAAGUCGAGCGAGGACCACUUGGUGGCAACACCGGGUGGCUCCUAGCGGCGAACGGGUGAGUAACACGUGGACAACCUGCCCCCGACUCUGGGAUAAGCCCGGGAAACUGGGUCUAAUACCGGAUACGAACCUCCUCCGCAUGGUGGAGGUUGGAAAGGGUCUCCGGUCGGGGAUGGGCCCGCGGCCUAUCAGCUUGUUGGUGGGGUAACGGCCCACCAAGGCGACGACGGGUAGCCGGCCUGAGAGGGUGAACGGCCACACUGGGACUGAGACACGGCCCAGACUCCUACGGGAGGCAGCAGUAGGGAAUCUUGCGCAAUGGGCGAAAGCCUGACGCAGCGACGCCGCGUGCGGGACGAAGGCCCUCGGGUUGUAAACCGCUUUCAGCAGGGACGAAGCGAAAGUGACGGUACCUGCAGAAGAAGGUCCGGCCAACUACGUGCCAGCAGCGGCGGUAAUAC
rnacentral:rRNA from 1 species